rnacentral:rRNA from 1 species
GUAGGUGGCAAGCGUUGUCCGGAAUUAUUGGGGCGUAAAGCGCGCGCAGGCGGUUCUUUAAGUCUGAUGUGAAAGCCCACGGGCUCAACCGUGGAGGGUCAUUGGAAACUGGAGAACUUGAGUACAGAAGAGGAAAGCGGAAUUCCACGUGUAGCGGUGAAAUGCGUAGAGAUGUGGAGGAACACCAGUGGCGAAGGCGGCUUUCUGGUCUGUAACUGACGCUGAGGCGCGAAAGCGUGGGGAGCAAACAGGAUUAGAUACCCUGGUAGUCCACGCCGUAAACGAUGAGUGCUAAGUGUCAGGGGGUUUCCGCCCCUUAGUGCUGCAGCUAACGCAUUAAGCACUCCGCCUGGGGAGUACGGCCGCAAAGGCUG